rnacentral:lncRNA from 1 species
CAGACCAAGCCCGGCCUCUGUCCAGCUCCUCUUCCAGUUCAAAGCCCAGAAUGAUGCUGGUUUUUAUCAAUCGCCCUUUUCUGGCAAGGGCCUCAGUUUGAUUAUUAGCUUUUCUCUAAGCUCAGGGUGGGCUCUGGCUUCAGCCCGGGGAGUUCCUAACCCACAACGGGGAAGCCAGUGGUCUAUACAGGUCUUCCCAGCUAUGGAGAGGGCUCACCCUUGGUGUCUAUGAGAUCUCCUGCAGGAAAGGUUAUUUCAGAGCUUCCGCGGACCCUGGGAGAGACCCGAUGAGCCACUACACACCCAGGAAGGCUGCCCCGAGGGUCCCGUCACCCUGGGCUUCACCGACUUACGCUUCAAAAUGUUCCUCUGUUCCAGUUCCUCUGCAGUUGGUCUCUGGCUCAGCCGCCUACGGAAAAAAUCCAAGAAAAGUUUUUGGACCAUGUCAUAUCCUCCUGGGGCCGGUACUGACAAGGUGUGUGCGGGAUGGGUGCAGUGGAAGGGAUUCUAAGCUCCUCCAAGUCCUCUCCUGGGACACAACGGGUGGAGAGGCACACGUUCUUAAUCAAACAGUGGGACUCAUUCCCCAAACUUCUGAAGCUGAGGUCUGUAUUCGGCAAGAUGUUGACUGCAAGAAGUCUAGAGAGUUCCAGGAUGUGAGAAAGUCAUAAAGAUAAGGUGGAGUUGCUUUGGCCAUGCUCUAGCAACAAGACUCAACCAAUUAAAUCGAGCCUGGCUUCCACGGAGACUGCAAAAAUCACAACCGCCUACAAAGUUCCUGGUUCCUACAGCAAUACUGUCUCCCUUGCGGAUCUCGCUCUUGUCAAGACUGUUUCUCAGAAGUGCAUGCUGUGUAUAUAGCUGUAAUGUCUGAAGAUCUUAUCAAUGAAGGACCAUAAGAAAAAUAAUCAAAUUAACACAAGUUUCCUGUUGGUGUGAAGAGACUCCAAAAAUUAAAACAAAAACCCAACUUUCUACUCCCCCAAGAAAACCCCAAUGGCAGAAAGAGAUGACCGGAAGAUGCUUUAAAUAACGAAGAUCGAAGAUCAGGGAAUACCAGCUUUCUGAGUCACAGCCUCUCCCUGGAGAGGUGAAAAAACCCUGUAGGCUCUGACUCCGUUCUGCAGCACAGAGCUCAGGAGCGCCCCUUGCCAGAAGAGCAUCAGGACCAUAGCUCUUGCCGGCAUUUACAACUGCUGCUUGUUGGGAGAGCCCUGAUUCUCAGGUCUGUGUCUGCACCCCAGCACCAGAGGGAGGCCAACACAUUUCAGUCAGACGGAAAGAGGAAAGACAGAGGAAGCCAAGGAGACAACAGAGGCAAGGUCCUCCCUCCUAUGACGGAACUGGUGGCAUUUCCUAAUGCUGCUGCUAUACUAAAAUACCAGAGGCUGGGUAUUUUAUAAAGGAGAAGGAGUUUACUUAGCUCUGGAGGCUGAAAGCAUAGAUCACAUAAGUCCUUAGGAAUGGUGGGAAUUGAUAUGUGGACAAGAUCACAUAUAGAAGCUAGAGAAAUUUAAAGACCAGAGAGUAUUCUUUUGGAAAGAACUUAAUCUUGUGGGAAAUGAUUAAGGUCCCAGGAGAUCUUUUGUCCCUAAGCCUGGGUCCUAAUGACCUUCAGCUAAGGCUCCAACUUUUAAAGUUCCCACUGCCACCCAACAUGGCCAAGUGGAAUGUCUAGCACACAAACUAAGCUCUAGGGGACAGAAUUGAGUCAUAGUCAACUCAAAGCAAUGAGAGGCUAAGCAAGUGGUGGUACAGUGGGGCCAGGGAGAACUGCUGAGUUCAUCUCCUUCCUCCAGGGGUUCCACAGAGGCUCAGUACUUCCUGGUCUUGGUCAGUAUCAACUCUCUGGCCUCUAAGUCAGCAUGGCAAACACAAUUUACUCUCUUAAUAACUGUUGGACACAGAUCCAUCCAUCCUGAUGUUGCCACAACUCUUUGAUCUCGAAGUGGAACAUGCCUGACCUCAACUUCUGUCAGUAUGCUGGGGACUCCAAAUUCUAACCUACCUGUCACUCUGAGUCCCCACCCUCUUCCAAUCAUCUCCCUGUACUCAUAGCUCACUACAUUUAAAGGGCCCUCAGGGAAUAACUCACCUCUACCCUCUCUGGAUAAAUUACUCUCCAAAAAGUCUUACAUCCCACCCUCAGGGAGCUUGCCUACUCAAGACCCACAAUCACAAUCUCUGAGCGUCACCUGUAUUGGCCACCUUGUCAGGUCAAGGAUCCCAAGCUGGGUAAAUUAUACGGAUGCUUACUUAGCUCGCGGUCCUGAGACAGUGCAUCAGCAAGCAUCUAUGCAGCCUCUGGUGAGGUGCUUCCUAUUGGAUUGUGAUAUAUGUGCAGGGCAUCACGUGGCCAGACAGAGAACUUUGCUAACUUCAGGCUUUCUCCUAUGAAACCACUCUCAUCCUCACGGAAGCCCCACUCUGAUGGCCUCAUCUAGUCUUAAUUACUGCCAAAGCUGCCAUCUCCCAGGGCCUCUAGCAGAUGACUUUGGAGAUGCAGUUUGGGCAUGAGUUUUGGAGAGAAGGAACAGCUGGAUGAGAAUAGCCAGUCAAACCCCAGUCCUCCACCCUCCUUCUCUCUUCUGAUCACACCACUGUGGGAGCGCAGGCCACCCGCGUCUCUCCUUGUGCCAGGCCACUGAUUCUAGCUCCCUUAGCCCAGGUGGAAUGGCUCACAGCAUCCCAUGCCUGGCUGCUGUGCCUACUUCCCUAUGACCCACAGGACAGAGUGAGUGAGACUGAGGUUCUGUAAGAGCUUCAUAGUCUGGCCACUGGCCGAAAAAUCUCCCCUUCCCAUCCUUAUGCAUAACCAGCCUCUCCGCAUCAGCAAGCUUGGCUCAGAACACACACUAUCCACACAUCACACAGUGCACCUCGCCAGACCUCUCAACACUAACAACCACGGCCUGAAGCACUUUAGCUUAGAAUCAGCUCUAGGGCACGCUGUGAGGGGCGUUGUCUUUUUUUUUUAUAACAUACAUGAAGCUUUCUACCCUUAUAGAAACAUAUUGCUUCUGUGCAGAGAAUAAAGCUUUCAAUAUGCUAAGAACAAUUAGCCUGGCUGCCACCGAGGGGGAGGGCUGAUGUGAAGACGGACAGGCACCAUGCUUCCUCACCUGCUGCCACCACUCACCACCAUCAGCUGGGACACAAGUCAGUCACGUGUGUCCUUGACUACCGUCCACACCUGAGUGUCUCCCUGAGGAAGGUGGUAUAGCAACAUGGACUCUACCUGCCGUGAAGGGUCUUGGGAGGGUCAACAGAGAACGGCCCAUGAAAGACACUUUUAACAAGCAAGAAUAAAGCAUGAACUAUUUUUGCUUCCGUUUCAGUUCCUGCUUUGACUUCCAUCAUGGCGGACUGCUGAGAUGUAAGACGAAAUAAACCCUUUCUUCUCCAUGUUGCUUUUGGUCAUGGUGCUCAGAUCUAUUAUAUCAGCCCCUGUUUUCAACAAGUUUUCCAGAAGAACUGCACACAGCUACAGUUCGAGUGCACUGUAACCUCUUUGCAUAAAACAUAGGAAGCUCUACUGGUGGAGAAGAGGCAAGCAGCUGAGAGAACACCAUGGGAUUUGGAGCUAGCUUGUAUAUCCUGAUGGAGGCUGAGCCAUCAUGAACUCUACUGUAAGGAGGCAGACAAACAGACCAUUGUUUUCCUGGUGCUGACAGAAGACAGAACUAACCAGAAUGCACGUGCUUCUCAAUUCAAAAGAGGUUCCUCUCAUUUGUCAAACCCAGGUGUUUGAGGAAGACUGCCUGGAGCUAUGUGUGUUAGGAAAGAUCUGGAAGCCUGUCCUACCUAAGCCAUUAGUCUUCUUGCAAACAAACCUCUCUUUCCAUAAGGAAGCAAUCCAUCUACUCCCGCUGAAACCCGGAGAGGCGGAGAAAGAAAGCACUGCGGAGAAUCCCCUUUCUGAUGAAGAUGCUUGCACGGGAGAUAUGGAGAACACCACGUGACGGAGGAGCCGAAGGCCUCCACCAUCAAACAGCAACGCCUUGUCUCUUUACCAUUUUAUGCUUACAUGUAA